rnacentral:rRNA from 1 species
UACGGAGGGAGCUAGCGUUAUUCGGAAUUACUGGGCGUAAAGCGCACGUAGGCGGCUUUGUACGUUAGAGGUGAAAGCCUGGAGCUCAACUCCAGAACUGCCUUUAAGACUGCAUCGCUUGAAUCCAGGAGAGGUGAGUGGAAUUCCGAGUGUAGAGGUGAAAUUCGUAGAUAUUCGGAAGAACACCAGUGGCGAAGGCGGCUCACUGGACUGGUAUUGACGCUGAGGUGCGAAAGCGUGGGGAGCAAACAGG